rnacentral:snoRNA from 1 species
AAGACUACACUUUCAGGGGUAAUUUCUAUAGUUUCUGACUUGAGAAAUGUGUUUCUAGAGUGUAUGGUCUCGCUGACCACGAUAAUGAGUUGUGAUGUUCCCUUUUAAGCAUAAAGUCAACAGACAACCAUGAUUUUGUCAUGUGUUUUCUGUCAUUGAUGAAUGUUUGUUAUUUCUUUUCAGAGCUUUGACAAAGGGAAUAUGACCUGAGUGGU